rnacentral:piRNA from 3 species
UCCCAAGGACAGAGGAUUUGGGUCUUUGU